UUCACGUAAAGAGAGAUUGAAAUUUGACUGUCCACAUAUUAGAUAUAACGAUAUAGUGGCAGUGCAGGCUUUCCCCCAUUGCCCCAUGAUACAGAUGUGUUUCAACCUUGACUUGGAGGGACUUGAGACAGAUAGUAGCACAGUCUCCAAGUCUAUUCAGUUUUUGGUUUCU
rnacentral:sRNA from 1 species